rnacentral:rRNA from 1 species
UACGGAGGGGGCUAGCGUUGUUCGGAAUUACUGGGCGUAAAGCGCGCGUAGGCGGCUUUGCAAGUCAGAGGUGAAAGCCUGGAGCUCAACUCCAGAACUGCCUUUGAAACUGCAUCGCUAGAAUCAUGGGGAGGUUAGUGGAAUUCCGAGUGUAGAGGUGAAAUUCGUAGAUAUUCGGAAGAACACCAGUGGCGAAGGCGACUAACUGGACAUGUAUUGACGCUGGGGUGCGAAAGCGUGGGGAGCAAACAGG